rnacentral:rRNA from 1 species
AUUGAACGCUGGCGGCAGGCCUAACACAUGCAAGUCGAACGAGUGGCGGACGGGUGAGUAAUGUCUGGGAAACUGCCUGAUGGCGGGGGAUAACUCCUGGAAACGGUAGCUAAUACCGCAUACCCUCAGAUGUGCCCAGAUGGGAUUAGCUAGUUGGUGGGGUAACGGCUCACCAAGGCGACGAGCCAUUGCUGGUCUGAGAGGAUGACCAGCCACACUGGAACGGAGACACGGUCCAGACGCCUACGGGAGGAAGCAGUGGGGAAUCUUGAACAAUGGGCGCAAGCCGGAUGCAGCCAGGCCGCGUGUAUGAAGAAGGCAUUAGGGUUGUAAAGUACGUUCAGCGGGGAGGCGUUACCCGCAGAAGAAGCACCGGCUAACUCCGUGCCAGCAGCCGCGGUAAUAC